CCUACGGGAGGCAGCAGUAGGGAAUCUUCCACAAUGGGCGAAAGCCUGAUGGAGCAACGCCGCGUGGGUGAAGAAGGUCUUCGGAUCGUAAAACCCUGUUGUUAGAGAAGAAAGUGCGUGAGAGUAACUGUUCACGUUUCGACGGUAUCUAACCAGAAAGCCACGGCUAACUACGUGCCAGCAACCGCGGUAAUUCGUAGGUGGCAAGCGUUAUCCGGAUUUAUUGGGCGUAAAGGGAACGCAGGCGGUCUUUUAAGUCUGAUGGGAAAGCCUUCGGGUUAACCGGAGUAGUGCAUUGGAAACUGGGAGACUUGAGUGCAGAAGAGGAGAGUGGAACUCCAUGUGUAGCGGUGAAAUGCGUAGAUAUAACGCAGAACCCCGAUUGCGAAGGCAGCAUGCCGGCUUCCGACUGACGCUGAAGCACGAAAGCGUGGGGAUCGAACAGGAUUAGAUACCCCUGUAGUC
rnacentral:rRNA from 1 species